rnacentral:rRNA from 1 species
UGGAAGUAAAAGUCGUAACAAGGUCUCCGUUGGUGAACCAGCGGAGGGAUCAUUACUGAGUUUACGCUCUACAACCCUUUGUGAACAUACCUAUAACUGUUGCUUCGGCGGGUAGGGUCUCCGUGACCCUCCCGGCCUCCCGCCCCCGGGCGGGUCGGCGCCCGCCGGAGGAUAACCAAACUCUGAUUUAACGACGUUUCUUCUGAGUGGUACAAGCAAAUAAUCAAAACUUUUAACAACGGAUCUCUUGGUUCUGGCAUCGAUGAAGAACGCAGCGAAAUGCGAUAAGUAAUGUGAAUUGCAGAAUUCAGUGAAUCAUCGAAUCUUUGAACGCACAUUGCGCCCGCCAGCAUUCUGGCGGGCAUGCCUGUUCGAGCGUCAUUUCAACCCUCAAGCUCUGCUUGGUGUUGGGGCCCUACAGCUGAUGUAGGCCCUCAAAGGUAGUGGCGGACCCUCCCGGAGCCUCCUUUGCGUAGUAACUUUACGUCUCGCACUGGGAUCCGGAGGGACUCUUGCCGUAAAACCCCCAAUUUCCAAAGGU